UGGGGAAUUUUGGACAAUGGGGGGAAACCCUGAUCCAGCCAUCCCGCGUGUGCGAUGAAGGCCUUCGGGUUGUAAAGCACUUUUGGCAGGAAAGAAACGUCGCGGGUUAAUACCCCGCGAAACUGACGGUACCUGCAGAAUAAGCACCGGCUAACUACGUGCCGGCAGCCGCGGUAAUACGUAGGGUGCAAGCGUUAAUCGGAAUUACUGGGCGUAAAGCGUGCGCAGGCGGUUCGGAAAGAAAGAUGUGAAAUCCCAGAGCUUAACUUUGGAACUGCAUUUUUAACUACCGGGCUAGAGUGUGUCAGAGGGAGGUGGAAUUCCGCGUGUAGCAGUGAAAUGCGUAGAUAUGCGGAGGAACACCGAUGGCGAAGGCAGCCUCCUGGGAUAACACUGACGCUCAUGCACGAAAGCGUGGGGAGCAAACAGGAUUAGAUACCCUGGUAGUCCACGCCCCUAAACGAUGCCAACUAGCUGUUGGGGGCCCUUCGGGGCCUUUGGUAGCGCAGCUAACGCGUGAAGUUGACCGCCUGGGGAGUACGGUCGCAAGAUUAAAACUCAAAGGAAUUGACGGGGUCAUAGCUGUUUCCU
rnacentral:rRNA from 1 species